rnacentral:rRNA from 1 species
UGUGACAUACCUAUACGUUGCCUCGGCGGAUCAGCCCGCGCCCCGUAAAACGGGACGGCCCGCCCGAGGACCCUAAACUCUGUUUUUAGUGGAACUUCUGAGUAAAACAAACAAAUAAAUCAAAACUUUCAACAACGGAUCUCUUGGUUCUGGCAUCGAUGAAGAACGCAGCAAAAUGCGAUAAGUAAUGUGAAUUGCAGAAUUCAGUGAAUCAUCGAAUCUUUGAACGCACAUUGCGCCCGCCAGUAUUCUGGCGGGCAUGCCUGUUCGAGCGUCAUUUCAACCCUCAAGCUCAGCUUGGUGUUGGGACUCGCGGUAACCCGCGUUCCCCAAAUCGAUUGGCGGUCACGUCGAGCUUCCAUAGCGUAGUAAUCAUACACCUCGUUACUGGUAAUCGUCGCGGCCACGCCGUUAAACCCCAACUUCUGAAUGUUGACCUCGGAUCAGGUAGGAAUACCCGCUGAACUUAAGCAUAUCA